rnacentral:rRNA from 1 species
GCGAGGGGGAGCAAACCACAAAAAGGCCGUCCCAGUUCGGACUGUAGUCUGCAACCCGACUACACGAAGCUGGAAUCGCUAGUAAUCGCGAAUCAGAAUGUCGCGGUGAAUACGUUCCCGGGUCUUGUACACACCGCCCGUCACACCAUGGGAGUCGGAAAUGCCCGAAGCCAGUGACCCAACCUUUUGGAGGGAGCUGUCGAAGGUGGAGCCGGUAACUGGGGUGAAGUCGUAACAAGGUAGCCGUAUCGGAAGGUGCGGCUGGAUCACCUCCUUU